GCGCCCGUAGUUCAACGGAUAGAGCACUAGUCUUCGGAACUAGGGAUGGGGGUUCAAAUCCCUCCGGGCGCACCA
rnacentral:tRNA from 1 species